UGAAGGAUGGCCCCAUGGCUGCCCCACAACCCAUGGAGUCCACUGCAGCCCCCAGACCUGCUACAGAGCCAGACACAGGCAGCGGCUACGUGGAGCCAACAAGGGGACUCACCGAGGUCAUGGUACCUGUCUGCAGCAUGGCUGGGCGCUCAGGUGGCCCUGUUUACAGCAGUAUCCUGGAAACAGCCAGCUGUCCCCUAGGAGCUGCGGAACCUGGCACACAAAGUCUCCUCCAGCUUGGGGACUUGUGGCCUGUGCACUCUGCUCCUUCCCACCUCCGCCCCACAGCCUCCCUGGGAAUCUUCUUGGAUGAAACAGGGAAAAUAAGUGUUUUCUGUGCAGUUAAUAACUCAGCGUCACUCAUUUGGGCCUUGCUCUCAUUUCCCUCUGAAGGUCAUUCACAGUGGAACAGAAUUGUUGUGUACACCUGGUACUGCUUGGAUUGCACCCCAAACCGGUACAAGUCUUGUUGACAAAAGCACUCCCUGCCAGUAGAAGUCAAGUCAAGAGAAGGAUGAGGUUUUGUGUUACAGC